AAAUCUUCUUGGCCUUUUGGUCUGGGAAAGUGUUCUCUAAUAAGUUCAGUUCUUAUCAGUCUAAUAAUGGACAUAUCCUUGAUACGAGGACUUGCUAUUAAAUGGAUUUUUGGAAAAGGGAGUUUCCCCAGGAACCUGUUUGAUCCCCCUCCACUCAUUGGCCUGGUACAGAAACGCUUCCAUGACCAGUGGCUUGAAG
rnacentral:snRNA from 1 species